CUGUCUACUAUGGGAUAUAGACCUUGCUUUACGUUGCCACUGGGGAUGAGGCAUAUAUAUAUGGCUUUUAACCGUGAAAUGGAUGCUAAUUCAGUCAAAAAGGAAAGAAGAUGUACUUCAUUGCCAUCUGAAUCACUAGAGUGGAACAUGCCUCUAGCUGGAAAGAAGAUGAAUGAAUGUCUGAGUUGAAUGCUAUUGCAAGGGAAGUUGAAGCAGAGUUAGCUCCAAGAGAAAUAGGAUGCAAUUUGGCUGACCUUUUGGAUGCAGUGAACACAGUCCUUUUCAAGUCAAUGGCUUCAGAUAUCAAUAGCAAUUCACAGACAGAGCUUGAGAUUGCAAUUAUUGGGAAAUCGAUCAACUCUCCUAAUAAACUGCCAGCCAGGUCGCGUGACCAAUAAUUAUUACUCUACUACAUUCUUUUUUUCAGAGGCUUCACUGGAAAUGUGCUUCUAGAGCAAAUCAUGGUUUAAUGCCGACUUCUCCUCUCCACUUAGGUCUACUGAUAAUUUUAGUUCAAAUGCAUAUUUGGUGCGGCCUCAAGAUUUGAGGUUCAAGAUGCUAAAUUGCAACCUUGGAAUGGGGAGAAUUGUGAUUUUGGCGACACAAUGUUAUUCUUAAAGAUUUUAACUUUCAACCAUUUACUCUGUGAUACUGCAGCCAUCUUUCCUGGUUUUGAAAAGUUCCUCUCCAUAUUUUAACUUCAUUUAUCAAAGCCAAAAAGCAUACAGAUAUGCAGAUUGGCUUUUUGUCACAUUAUCUAUCCUGUUACAGAAUGAUAUAUAUAUACAAAUUAUAUAGCAGCCAACAAUACUAGAUCUCACACUGCAUGUAGACUUGAUUUUUCCUUUGUAGUAUCCACUGUCUUCUGACCAAAACAUCUGAUUUAGUUUAACAGACUUAUUUAAUUAUUUCUGUGCAUACUUAUAAUGACAUAACGUAUGAGAUGUUAUUAUACUUUUUUAGGCUGGCUAUUAUGGCUUCAGAAAGAUUGCUGAUUCUGCAGCCACACAAUUGGUCUUUGAGGAGAGAUCAUGGCAUGAUGUUGUACUAUAGUAGGGAAUAUGAGGAGGCAGUGAAGGAGCUAAGCAUUUGAGAAAUUACACUUACUGUGUUUGGAAUCAUCAUGGAAAUCACUUGGACAUAAAGGUCACUUAUCAGUUCCUUGACUUGUUUUGUGAAAAUCUUGGUGACUUCUUGAUCCAAUAUACAAAAAGAACACACGACCAGUAGGACUUUAUCUGUAGUAUUUAUUUAUUUAUUCAUUUGUUAUAUUUGACUUUUGUAAAUAGUUUCCUUGGACCAACCUUUUUUGCAUUGUUUCAAUGAAUGGACUAUUUUGAACAGCUCCCAGCAGCUAUCUUAGCUCUCAUAGCUGGACAUCCUUCAAAAAUAAGUUCCAUCUUCAUGCGAAUAAAGUCCUAUAUUAAAAGUUGAUAUGAAAAAAUAGGCUAUAUAUAAGGUAAGGUGAUACUUCUGAUGCGUGGAGCCUUUUGGGAAAAUCAUCCAGGUUUGGUCCAAAAACGGAGACCAUGUUAAGAGUGUCUUUGGAUUAACUUAGCCCAAUAAUGUGGUCAGCAGGCCUAAAGAAUACUAAGCAUACAGUUUGAGCCAUGUUGUGCAACUUAAACGUGAUUAUGGCUAAUUAGUAAAAAAACGUAGCU